CGGGACCUCAGGUCAGGCGGGGCUACCCGCUGAGUUUAAGC
rnacentral:rRNA from 1 species